AAUGUGUGUCUGACUACCUCUAGAGGUGAUCAGGAAGAUCUGAUCACAAUGUGUUUCUGACUACCUCUAGAGGGGAUCAGGAAGAUCUGAUCACAAUGUGUUUCUGACUACCUCUAGAGGGGAUCAGGAAGAUCUGAUCACAAUGUGUCCUUUGUUUUGUCUACAUCGGUCCAAAAAGAAAUGUGGACAAGAUCAGGACAAAGGACGCAUGUUAGAACCAGGUAUAAACAGGGCUUCUGUGAGAGGAAAGAGACAGGAUGCGUUUAGUGAAUUCACCCCUAGGGGGCAGCCUCUGCAUUGAGAAGUGAUAACCAUCCUAAAUCAAGAGACACCACUUUGUCAAUCACAACAUGUCACUUGACCUCUUGUAUUUUAAAGAACAUUGUUUUCCAUUCCCGCUGUAGAAAUCUUAUUGACUAAAGAAAAACAACAACCAGACGUCAUGGUUUCUGCAGAACCAGUUUCUCCACAUUUCAGCCUGUCAUCCAGAACCUUCCAGUUGACAAGGAAACAACGGAACUUUCCAGGUUGAAGCUCACUGGACGCAGUAACAAAAAUAAGAAGACUGUAUAAAAAUGUUUUUAAAUGAGGAACAUUGAACCGUAUGUUGGCUUAUUUUUCAGGGCGUUUCACUAUGAAAAUACAGUGUCAUCAGAAAGUAUUCAUACCCCUUGACUUAUUCCAUGUUAUUCCAUGUUAUUCCACUUAUUCCAACAGCCUGAAUUCCAAAUUGAUUUGAUGCUGGUGAGAGGGGAGGACGGCUCAUAAUAAUGUCUGGAAUGGAGUGAGCGGAACGGUACCAAACACAUGUGACGGCCCCCAGCUCCCCUCUCAGCCCCCCUGUCUCCCCCACGCUGUCUCCCCCACCCUGUCUCCCCCACGCUGUCUCCCCCACCCUGUCUGCCCCAGAGCUGCCUUCUGGUGGUAAGAAGGGGGAGUGCACCGUCUGUUUCGACCAGGAAGUGGACACGGUCAUCUACACCUGCGGACACAUGUGUCUGUGUAACAACUGUGGGCUAAAGCUGAAGAGACAAGUGAAUGCCUGCUGUCCUAUCUGCCGCAGGCCCAUUAAAGACGUCAUCAAGACAUACAGACCAUGAGAGGACUGGGACAUUACUGGGACAUUACUGGGACAUUACUGCAGCAGGCCUAUUAAAGACGUCAUCAAGACAUACAGACCAUGAGAGGACUGGGACAUUACUGGGACAUUACUGCAGCAGGCCCAUUAAAGACAUCCCAUUAAAGACAUCAUCAAGACAUACAGACCAUGAUGUCUGGGACAUUACUGGGACAUUACUGCAGCAGGCCCAUUAAAGACGUCCCAUUAAAUACAUCAUCAAGACAUACAGACCAUGAUGUCUGGGACAUUACUGGGACAUUACUGCAGCAGGCCCAUUAAAGACGUCCCAUUAAAGACAUCAUCAAGACAUACAGACCAUGAUGUCUGGGACAUUACUGCAGCAGACAUUGUCUAGAGCAGGGAUAUUCAACUCUGACCCUACGAGAUCUGGAGUACUGCUGGUUUCCUGUUCUACGUGAUAAUUCAUUUCACACCUGUUGUCCCAGGUCUAAAUCAGGCCCUGAUUAGAGGGGAAUCACCCACCUGUUGUCCCAGGUCUAAAUCAGUCCCUGAUUAGAGGGGAAUCACCCACCUGUUGUCCCAGGUCUAUAUCAGUCCCUGAUUAGAGGGGAAUCACCCACCUGUUGUCCCUGGUCUAAAUCAGUCCCUGAUUAGAGGGGAAUCACCCACCUGUUGUCCCUGGUCUAAAUCAGUCCUUGAUUAGAGGGGAAUCACCCACCUGUUGUCCCAGGUCUAUAUCAGUCCCUGAUUAGAGGGGAAUCACCCACCUGUUGUCCCAGGUCUAUAUCAGUCCCUGAUUAGAGGGGAAUCACCCACCUGUUGUCCCUGGUCUAAAUCAGUCCCUGAUUAGAGGGGAAUCACCCACCUGUUGUCCCUGGUCUAAAUCAGUCCCUGAUUAGAGGGGAAUCACCCACCUGUUGUCCCAGGUCUAUAUCAGUCCCUGAUUAGAGGGGAAUCACCCACCUGUUGUCCCAGGUCUAAAUCAGUCCUUGAUUAGAGGGGAAUAUUUUUUUUUAAAGCAGUGGAACUGGCUUUGAGGUCCAGAUGUAUAUUUGAAGGUUAUAGAGACAGACUGGACACCAUUGCAACAGGCGCAUCAAGGUCAUCAUUAAGCCUGACCAUCCAUGAGAGGACAAACUACUGGGACAGGGCUCUGUCUGCACCCCAGAGACGUCUCUUACCAAACUGGACACUCUACACUACGGCAGGUCCAUCACGGACCUCCCACAUCAAGACAUAUUGGCCCUGAUAGACUGGACACACUACACUACGGCAGGUCCAUCACGGACCUCCCACAUCAAGACAUAUUGGCCCUGAUAGACUGGACACACUACACUACGGCAGGUCCAUCACGGACCUCCCACAUCAAGACAUAUUGGCCCUGAUAGACUGGACACACUCUCUCUCUCUCUACCCGAGACUCUCUCUCUCUCUCUACCUGAGACUCUCUCUCUCUACCUGAGACUCUCUCUCUCUCUCUACCUGAGACUCUCUCUCUCUCUACCCGAGACUCUCUCUCUCUCUCUACCUGAGACUCUCUCUCUCUCUCUACCCGAGACUCUCUCUCUCUCUCUCUCUCUACCGAGACUCUCUCUCUCUCUCUACCUGAGACUCUCUCUCUCUACCCGAGACUCUCUCUCUCUCUCUACCCGAGACUCUCUCUCUCUCUCUCUACCUGAGACUCUCUCUCUCUACCCGAGACUCUCUCUCUCUCUCUCUCUACCCGAGACUCUCUCUCUCUCUCUCUCUCUACCUGAGACUCUCUCUCUCUCUCUCUACCCUCUCUCUCUCUCUACCCACUCUCUCUCUCUCUCUCUACUCGAGACUCUCUCUCUCUCUCUACCCAAGACUCUCUCUCUCUCUCUACCUGAGACUCUCUCUCUCUCUCUCUACCCGAGACUCUCUCUCUCUCUCUACCCGAGACUCUCUCUCUCUCUCUCUCUACCCGAGACUCUCUCUCUCUCUACCUGAGACUCUCUCUCUCUCUCUACCCGAGACUCUCUCUCUCUCUCUACCCGAGACUCUCUCUCUCUCUCUACCCGAGACUCUCUCUCUCUCUCUACCUGAGACUCUCUCUCUCUCUCUCUACCUGAGACUCUCUCUCUCUCUAUCCUCUCUCUCUCUCUCUCUCUCUACCUGAGACUCUCUCUCUCUCUCUACCCGAGACUCUCUCUCUCUACCCGAGACUCUCUCUCUCUCUCUCUCUCUACCCGAGACUCUCUCUCUCUCUCUACCUGAGACUCUCUCUCUCUACCCGAGACUCUCUCUCUCUCUCUCUCUCUCUCUACCCGAGACUCUCUCUCUCUCUCUACCUGAGACUCUCUCUCUACCCGAGACUCUCUCUCUCUCUCUCUACCUGAGACUCUCUCUCUCUCUCUACCCGAGACUCUCUCUCUCUCUCUCUCUCUCUCUCUACCUGAGACUCUCUCUCUCUACCCGAGACUCUCUCUCUCUCUCUCUCUCUCUCUACCUGAGACUCUCUCUCUCUCUCUACCCGAGACUCUCUCUCUCUCUCUCUCUCUCUACCUGAGACUCUCUCUCUCUCUCUACCCGAGACUCUCUCUCUCUCUCUACCUGAGACUCUCUCUCUCUACCCGAGACUCUCUCUCUCUCUCUCUACCUGAGACUCUCUCUACCAUAGCUGAGGGCGGCAGGGCUUUCUUUUCCUGUUUGUCUGCCUGUCACAUGGUUUUUCUAAAUGUGUGGUUUUAACCCUUCACGUGUUGGAAGGACUCUUCUGUGAGUCACCACUCUGCCAAAUACCUUCUAUCUUUGUGCCUUAGACAAUGUUUGUCAAAUGUCUUCAUGUCCAAGUUCUAAAUAUGAUGACAAUGCUAUUUGUAAAUGAAGGUGUUGUGGAAUUAAUGAAGAAUGGUCACUGCGGACAGCUUAUGCAAAAUAAAAAGAGACUGUUUAUGUCAUGUUUCUAAAUGAGAAAAAUAUAUAACCUUACGUUGGCGAAUUGUUCAGGGCUUUUUACUAUGAAGAGAAAGAUGUUUGAACAAGACAUGCAGAGUGUUAUUAAAUGAAACGUGCUGUA